GGGGCGGUAGCUCAGCUGGUAGAGCACGGGACUGAAAAUCCCGGUGUCGCAGGUUCGACCCCUGCUCGUCCCA
rnacentral:tRNA from 1 species